UGCGGAGGGUGCAAGCGUUAAUCGGAAUUACUGGGCGUAAAGCGCACGUAGGUGGUUUGCUAAGUCAGCUGUGAAAUCCCCGGGCUCAACCUGGGCACUGCAGUUGAAACUGGCAAGCUAGAGUAGGGUAGAGGGGUGUGGAAUUCCAGGUGUAGCGGUGAAAUGCGUAGAUAUCUGGAGGAACACCAAUGGCGAAGGCAGCUCGCUGGGACGGUACUGACGCUGAGACGCGAAAGCGUGGGGAGCGAACAGG
rnacentral:rRNA from 1 species